CAAUUUUCACCAAAAAUUGCUAGGCUGAUAGUCCUAAAGGUCCAGAAGGUUCUUCAGGUAGUAGGAAUGGCUCUAAUAAGCAUCCAGCCCCUCCUCCUGAUAGUGAAGAUGAUAAAAGUGACGAUGAAGGAGGGCUAGUCGUUGAUGAGGAUCCUUCUUCUCCUUCAACCACUCUAGCAGCUGCAAUGGUAAAGGCUCUGGCACAGCAGCAGUCCAAUUCAGAUCUUCGUCCAUCUUCAAAACGACCCUCGACUCCAUCUUCAACAAAAAGUGACAAACCAUCUUCUGUUCCUCCUAAUCGUCCUAAUUCAGUUGGUCCAAUCACUGUUAAUGGUCCUGGACCAUCUAAUGCUAGCUCUCCUAGUGGUGUACCUCCUAGACAACAGCAUGUACCUUUAAGUAAGUAUAUACAUGUACAUGUAUGGAGGGUUUCCCACAAAGCAUGCUAAGUGAGCUAAACAGUAUGCGUGAUGUAGGUGGUAUUGGAGGUUUAUUGUGGGAUGGUGGCAUAUCAGAAAGAUAGAGCGGAUCCUGAUCUGGUUUGCAUUGAAAUUUUGAUUGUAACAAUUAUCAUAGUAAUUAUUUAUAGGUAACCUUUACUGAAGAUCAGAGGGCUGAUUCUAAAGCUUUCUUUUCAAUGGCUGACAUUCAUGUGAGGGAAUCUUUAUCUCAGGAAGAUGCAGAAAUGUUUAGAAGUGUUGUAAAUGGAUGUGUUCAGCGUUAUAGCAAGAGGUGGACAGCAAAAAAGGUACUUGAUGUACUCCAUGAUGACAAUGAGAUAUAAACUAAAACUACUACUAGACUCUGCAUAUCAUUUAUUCAUUAUUUAGUAUCAUUUUACAACAUGUAUUUUCAUUCAAUCAUA